rnacentral:rRNA from 1 species
UACGAAGGGGGCUAGCGUUGUUCGGAAUUACUGGGCGUAAAGCGCGCGUAGGCGGUUUUGCAAGCCAGAGGUGAAAUGCCUGAGCUCAACUUAGGAAUUGCCUUUGGGACUGCGAGGCUUUGAGGACUGGAGAGGUGAGUGGAAUUCCCAGUGUAGAGGUGAAAUUCGUAGAUAUUGGGAAGAACACCGGUGGCGAAGGCGGCUCACUGGCCAGUUCUGACGCUGCAGCGCGAAAGCGUGGGGAUCAAACAGG